rnacentral:rRNA from 1 species
GUCGGUUUAAUUGGACUCAACGCCGGGCAGCUCACCGGAUAAGACAGCUGGAUGAUAGCCGGGCUGAAGACUCUGCUUGACUAGCUGAGAGGAGGUGCAUGGCCGUCGUCAGUUCGUACUGUGAAGCAUCCUGUUAAGUCAGGCAACGAGCGAGACCCACGCCAACAGUUGCCAGCAUGUCCUCCGGGAUGAUGGGGACACUGUUGGGACCGCCUCUGCUAAAGAGGAGGAAGGAAUGGGCAACGGUAGGUCAGCAUGCCCCGAAUUAUCCGGGCUACACGCGGGCUACAAUGGUCAGGACAAUGGGUAUCGACACCGAGAGGUGGAGGCAAUCUCCUAAACCUGUCCUUAGUUCGGAUUGUGGGCUGCAACUCGCCCACAUGAAGCUGGAAUCCGUAGUAAUCGCGUUUCAAAAUAGCGCGGUGAAUAUGUCCCUGCUCCUU